rnacentral:lncRNA from 1 species
CAUAACCAAACACAUACAAUAAUAUAGUUUCAAUUAAAACUGUCAUGUUCGAAAUCAAAUUCGGAUUCAGAUAAUUUGCAGGCUAAACAAAUCCAUUUAUAAUAUUCCUAGUUCCCCACUAAGAGGGAGAUUAAUUAGAGUAAAGGAAGAGAGAGAUGAAGUGAAAUUAAUGAAAAAGGGAGAUGAAGGGAAAUAAUGUAUGCAUGGUUCCAUGGUAUUUUAAGGAUGUAGUUA